rnacentral:rRNA from 1 species
AGGGCGUACGGUGGAUGCCUUGGCGAUAUCAGCCGAAGAAGGACGCGGUAAGCUGCGAUAAGCUACGGAGAGGUGCAAGCAACCUUUGACCCGUAGAUUUCCGAAUGGGGGAACCCGGCAGUGGUUAUGCACUGUCACCCAUAGCUUAGACUAUGAGGAGGGCACCUGGGGAACUGAAACAUCUAAUUACCCGGAGGAACAGUAAUCAAACGAGAUUUUCUUAGUAGCGGCGAGCGAACGGGAAAGAGGCCAAACCGGAGCGGGCAACCGCACCGGGGUUGAGGACAGUCAUCAAGUGUAAAUGAGGUAGAAGAAUCGAGUUGGAAAGCUCAGCCGAAGAAGGUGAAAGCCCUGUAAUCGAAACCUUGCAUACACGGGACUGUAUCCAGAGUACCACGAGACACGUGAAACCUUGUGGGAAGCAGGGGGGACCACCCUCCAAGCCAAAAUACUGAUAUCGACCGAUAGCGCAUAGUACCGUGAGGGAAAGGUGAAAAGAACCCCUGGCGGGGAGUGAAAGAGAACCUGAAACCGUAUGUCUACAAACAGUCGAAGUCUGUAUAUAUAUCAGGACGACGGCGUGCCUAUUGAAGAAUGAACCGACGAGUUACUGUUGCUAGCGAGGUUAAGUGGAAAACAUGGAGCCGCAGCGAAAGCGAGUCUGAACAGGGCGUAUAGUUAGUAAUAGUAGACCCGAAACCGUAGUGAUCUAUCCAUGGCCAGGUUGAAGCACAGGUAAAAUUGUGUGGAGGACCGAACUCGUGAGCGUUGAAAAGCUUUGGGAUGAGUUGUGGAUAGGGGUGAAAUGCCAAUCGAACACGGAGAUAGCUGGUUCUCCCCGAAAUAGCUUUAGGGCUAGCCUCGAGGUUGAGAGUAUAGGCGGUAGAGCACUGAUCGGGCUAGGGGCCAUACCGGUUACCGAACCUAGUCAAACUACGAAUGGCUAUACUUAUACUCGGGAGUCAGACAGUGAAUGAUAAGGUCCAUUGUCAAGAGGGAAACAGCCCAGAACACCGACUAAGGUCCCCAAUGUUACACUAAGUGGCGAAGGAUGUGGAAUUUCCAAAACAACCAGGAUGUUGGCUUAGAAGCAGCCACCAUUUAAAGAGUGCGUAAUAGCUCACUGGUCGAGAGACUCUGCGCCGAAAAUGUCCGGGGCUAAAGUGUAAAACCGAAGUCGUGUCAUAUGCAGCAAUGUAUAUGGGUAGGGGAGCGUUCUCAUCGGGCUGAAGCAGUACCGUAAGGAGUUGUGGACUGAUGAGAAGUGAGAAUGUCGGUAUGAGUAGCGAAAAGAAUGGUGAGAAUCCAUUCCACCGAAAGCCUAAGGGUUCCUGAGCAACGAUCGUCGUCUCAGGGUAAGUCGGGACCUAAGCCGAGGCGGAAAAGCGUAGGCGAUGGACAACAGGUUGAAAUUCCUGUACCGGUGUGAAUCGUUUGAUCGAUGGAGUGACACAGUAAGGUAGGUCAGCACGCGAUUGGAAGAGCGUGUUUAAGCAGGUAGGUUGAGCUAUAGGCAAAUCCGUAGCUCUAAAAGCUGAGAUGUGAUGACGAGUGACUAGCAAUAGUCGCGAAGUGAUUGAUCCUACACUGUCGAGAAAAGCUUCUAGGUAGAGACACAUCGCCCGUACCAAAACCGACACAGGUAGGCGGGGAGAGAAUCCUAAGGUGCGCGGGAAAACCCUCGUUAAGGAACUCGGCAAAAUGCCUCCGUAACUUCGGGAAAAGGAGGACUCAUGUAGUGUGAAGAGCAGAAGCGCUUGGAGCAUGAAUGAGUGGCACAAGAGAGGCGCAAGCGACUGUUUACCACAAACACAGGUGCCUGCUAAAGCGAAAGCUGAUGUAUAGGUGCUGACACCUGCCCGGUGCUGGAAGGUUAAGAGGAGGGGUUAGACUUCGGUCGAAGCUCUGAAUUGAAGCCCCAGUAAACGGCGGCCGUAACUAUAACGGUCCUAAGGUAGCGAAAUUCCUUGUCGGGUAAGUUCCGACCCGCACGAAAGGUGUAACGACUUGCGCACUGUCUCAACGAGGGACCCGGUGAAAUUGAAGUACCUGUGAAGAUGCAGGUUACCCGCGACUGGACAGAAAGACCCCAUGGAGCUUUACUGCAACCUAAGAUUGAACUUAGUUAAUGAAUGUACAGGAUAGGUGGGAGACGUAGAACCUAGGACGCCAGUUUUAGGGGAGUCAUUGUUGGGAUACCACCCUUUCAUUAAUUGAUUUCUAACGGGCCGAGUAACGACCGGCCGGACAGUCUUAGGCGGGCAGUUUGACUGGGGCGGUCGCCUCCAAAAGAGUAACGGAGGCGCCCAAAGGUUCCCUCAGAGCGGACGGAAAUCGCUCG